rnacentral:lncRNA from 1 species
UGCUCGUUACAUCUUCAGGAUUAGGAUAUUCAUUUGGACCGAAGCUUUACGGAGACUCCAUAUGAGAGUUAUUCCCCCUUUUCCCUUAAAUUAAGUGAUAUGCAUUUCUAAAUGGUAAACCAUAAGUGAUAAAGACAUAGGGUCUUUAGAUUUGGGGUCCUUGGUCGAAAAUAAUAAAAAUGAGGUCAAGGUCAAAGGUCAAGGUCAUAUUCUAAAUUUUGAUUUUGGCUUAUUUUCAUUUAUUUUCAAAUACCUUAUGACAUAUC